CUCCCUGCUCCUUAACUUCCCACUCUGCAUUUUCCUGCCUGCUGCCUCUAGGCAGCAGCUCAGGAGCAGUGGGCAAUUGAGAGCAACUCCUGAGAGCACUAAAAGAAAUCACAUUGCUUAAAUGGCAUUUACACCGAGGGGUGGGGUGGUAGUGGCAGGAGUCUCAAAGCUUUUUCCGAGGGCACUGUGGCAAGAAGUCCAUGGUGGGAAGAGUGGCAUCCAGGUGUCCUCUAUCCAAGGAGGCAGCUGUUCUUAUUCAAGGGUGGGGUCCAUUUUCUUCCUCCAAAGUCAAAGAGAUUCUCUUUAAAAGCUCAAUUGUGACUUCUGGGACAUCUUAGCAAGAGACACUGAGCGUCUUCAUUUCCUCUCUCCAUUUCAGGACACACCUCCCUUGGAGGAGUGCUUUCUACCUGGAAAGCAGUGCAUGUAUCAGUGGAAUUCUGCUUAGCACAACAGAAUUGGGAGGUGGAGCAGGGAG
rnacentral:lncRNA from 1 species